UCCAAAGUGUAAUCAUCACUGUCUGCGGGAUAAAUCUGCACCUGCACAUGCUGUGGAUUUUUCUUUUCUGUGUCUCUGCCUGCUGUGUUUUCAGACCUGCCUCUUAUGCUGUUCUUCUGGGCUGCCUCCCAAAGGACAGAUAAACAUGAAGAUGUACUCUUUGUCCAGUUGGGGAAGAAGGUCUUCAGUUGGCAGCCUGAACAGCCCGAAUGGCCAUUGGGUAAAUCAGCCACCCUAAGGAAGAAGAGAGUCCAGGCACUCAAGUGGGUCCAAGCUGUCUGGAGGGGGGCUUUAGUUUGCUCAGGGAGAGUGAAGAGUCGGAAGAGAAAAAGUUCCUGAAUAAGAUUUAAUGCAAACAAGGAAACAAAUAAACAGAGCAAAAUGAACCAGGAUUUUAAAAAGAAGCACGGAAAAGAGAAAUUUGUAAAAGAGAUGAAGACCUGGUAGUUGAACCACAGGAGAAGAUCCUGGAGCGGGAGUGUGGAUUUAAGGUGAAAAGAGAAGAGGCGGUUUCAGGAAGGAGGGCGUGGUCAGCAAUGCCAGUGGCUUCCAGGGGAGAUGCACACUGAUUGCCUUUAGCUACAGUGAGGAGUGUCUGAUGACAGAAGUCACAUGUCUUCAUCUGUACUGCAAAGAAGGCUGAGAACACAGAUGCUGGACUUGCAUGAAAGAAAGAAGAUAUGGCAGCAGAAACAGAACUUGCCUGUUUGCAACAGAGACUGUUACUCCAGGAAACGUCUGCUAUAGACACAAACUGAGGUUGCACACAUCAUAACUAACCUGGA